rnacentral:rRNA from 1 species
AUGAGCGCUGGCGGCGUGCCUAACACAUGCAAGUCGAACGGAGUCCAGCCUUUAAGACCUUCGGGUCAAAGAGGGGAAGACUGAGUGGCGGACGGGUGAGUAACACGUGGGCAACCUGGCUCAUAGAGGGGGAUAACAGAGAGAAAUUUCUGCUAAUACCGCAUAAGCACACACUGCCGCAUGGCAGGGGGUGAAAAGAGAAUCGCUAUGAGAUGGACCCGCGUCUGAUUAGCCAGUUGGCAGGGUAAGAGCCUACCAAAGCGACGAUCAGUAGCCGAUCUGAGAGGAUGAACGGCCACAUUGGGACUGAGACACGGCCCAAACUCCUACGGGAGGCAGCAGUGGGGGAUAUUGCACAAUGGGGGGAACCCUGAUGCAGCGACGCCGCGUGAGUGAAGAAGUAUUUCGGUAUGUAAAGCUCUAUCAGCAGGGAAGAUAAUGACAGUACCUGAAUAAGAAGCCCCGGCUAACUACGUG